CCGUUCCCAUUCCGAACACGGAAGUUAAGCUCUCCAGCGCCGAUGGUACUUGGGGGUAGCCCCUGGGAGAGUAGGUCACUGCCAGAA
rnacentral:rRNA from 1 species